rnacentral:rRNA from 1 species
UACGGGGGGGGCAAGCGUUGUUCGGAAUUACUGGGCGUAAAGGGCUCGUAGGUGGCCAACUAAGUCAGACGUGAAAUCCCUCAGCUUAACUGGGGAACUGCGUCUGAUACUGGAUAGCUUGAGUUGGGAGAGGGAUGCGGAAUUCCAGGUGUAGCGGUGAAAUGCGUAGAUAUCUGGAGGAACACCGGUGGCGAAGGCGGCCUGCUGGGCAGUAGCUGACGCUGAUGCGCGACAGCGUGGGGAGCAAACAGGG